AAAUCAAAUUUAUUCAAACUCAACCCAAAGUUUCUUCUGUCUCUGUCUCUGUCUCUUUUUUGGUAGCGCCUCUAGUGUUUUAGCAGUGACAUGGGGAGCUACCAAAACGGCGUCGUGGCGGGGGACCGAAGCGGAACCAGUAAUGGAGGAGGAGCCCCUGUGCCUGUGGUGGACAAGGAAUUGGAUUUUGCACAGUACUUCUGUACCUACGCUUUUCUCUACCACCAAAAGGAGAUGCUCUCUGAUCGUGUCCGCAUGGACGCUUACUACAACUCCGUCUUCCAAAACAAGCAUCACUUCAAAGGAAAGACUGUGUUGGAUGUGGGAACUGGGAGUGGCAUUCUCGCAAUUUGGUCGGCACAAGCAGGUGCGAGAAAGGUCUAUGCAGUGGAAGCAACUAAGAUGUCAGAACAUGCGCGUGCGCUUGUAAAAGCAAAUAACUUGGAAGGUGUGGUUGAAGUGAUUGAGGGAUCUAUGGAGGAUGUUACAUUGCCAGAGAAAGUUGAUGUGAUUAUCUCAGAGUGGAUGGGAUACUUUCUUCUUCGUGAAUCCAUGUUUGAUUCGGUGAUAUGUGCGCGUGACCGAUGGCUGAAGCCAACGGGAAUCAUGUACCCUAGUCAUGCCCGCAUGUGGAUGGCACCUAUUAGGACUGGAUUGUCAGAGAAAAAAAUAAGUGACUAUGAGGGAGCUAUGGAUGAUUGGCAUCAUUUCACAAACGAGACAAAAACUUGUUAUGGCGUUGAUAUGAGUGUUCUCACAAAACCUUUCUCUGAGGAGCAAAAGAAAUACUAUCUGCAGACCUCAUCGUGGAACAACCUUCAUCCACAUCAAGUUAUCGGGACAGCUGCUUUAGUAAAGGAAAUUGAUUGUUUAACUGCCACUGUUGAUGACAUCCUGAAAGUCAGAUCAAACAUUUCAUCAUCAAUAACUCUAGAGAACACAAGGUUCUGCGGCUUUGGAGGAUGGUUUGAUGUUCAUUUUCGGGGAAGGAAGGAGGACCCAGCUCAGAAAGAGAUUGAGUUGACAACUGCCCCAAGCUUUGAUAAUGGGACACAUUGGGGCCAACAGGUUUUCCUUGUGAAUCCUACAAUUCGUGUCACUGAAGGAGAUAAUUUAAAUUUUUCUUUCUUAAUGAUUCGCUCUAAGGAAAAUCAUAGACUCAUGGAGGUUGAGCUUGGCUGUGAGGUCAGACAGUGUUCUGGCAAUGUACUGCCAGCUUUCAAUAAGAAGUACUACAUAGAGUGAGAAGGAAGAUAAAUAGCUUACUUUGGUUUUAACAUAAUCAAAGGUUGUAGACCCAUUAUUGUUGAGAAAGGUUGGGUGCUUCUGGAUGUGUGUGAGCAUGAGCUUGUGGUUCAAAAUUCUCUAAUGAGCGUGUAUGACAAUCUUUUGGAUUUUCUUUGUAGUUUUUUUAUAAGAAGAUACUGUGUAGUUCUGUUACUACAAUAUUUUUUCUAGUUUCCAGUGUCUGGAAUCUGAAUGUAAGGAACACUUCCAGGAGAUAUGUUUCAGUGCUGAAUGGUUUCUAAGAUUUAGCUGGUCCUAUUUAUCAUGUCUUUUGAGUUCCUGGGAGUUUGGCAGCCAUUUUUUCCUCUGGAAUGUUCUUUUUUUGUUGUAAUGUUGCGUUUGUAAUGAUAAGUUAGAUAUCAACUUCAUCA